rnacentral:rRNA from 1 species
GACGAACGCUGGCGGCGUGCUUAACACAUGCAAGUCGAACGGAAAGGCCCUGCUUUUGUGGGGUGCUCGAGUGGCGAACGGGUGAGUAACACGUGAGUAACCUGCCCUUGACUUUGGGAUAACUUCAGGAAACUGGGGCUAAUACCGGAUAGGAGCUCCUGCUGCAUGGUGGGGGUUGGAAAGUUUCGGCGGUUGGGGAUGGACUCGCGGCUUAUCAGCUUGUUGGUGGGGUAGUGGCUUACCAAGGCUUUGACGGGUAGCCGGCCUGAGAGGGUGACCGGCCACAUUGGGACUGAGAUACGGCCCAGACUCCUACGGGAGGCAGAAGUGGGGAAUAUUGUACAAUGGGCGGAAGACUGAUGCAGAAACGCCGCGUGCGGGAUGACGGCCUUCGGGUUGUAAACAGCUUUCGCCUGUGACGAAGCGUGAGUGACGGUAAUGGGUAAAGAAGCACCGGCUAACUACGUG